rnacentral:rRNA from 1 species
UACAGAGGUCUCAAGCGUUGUUCGGAAUCACUGGGCGUAAAGGGUGCGUAGGCGGGUCUUUAAGUCAGGGGUGAAAUCCUGGAGCUCAACUCCAGAACUGCCUUUGAUACUGAGGAUCUUGAGUUCGGGAGAGGUGAGUGGAACUGCGAGUGUAGAGGUGAAAUUCGUAGAUAUUCGCAAGAACACCAGUGGCGAAGGCGGCUCACUGGCCCGAUACUGACGCUGAGGCACGAAAGCGUGGGGAGCAAACGGG